rnacentral:misc_RNA from 1 species
AGAGCCUUAGCGCAGUAAGUGUCCACAACGAAUUAUCUGAACGAACGAUUAAAGCUUAAAGAGAAACGUUUUUAUAAAGAAUGUUUCAUCUUUAGUGGUGUCUAUGACACGGCUAAAUGAUUCAGCUUAAUGCUGAAUUUAUUGCUCUUUAAAAAAUUGGACAGAGUUGUAAUACGAGAAAAAAUCAAGCGUAUUUACAUCCGGUGAUCGUUAAUCAGUCAAAGAUAUACUGAUCCAAACGAAUUGAUCAUUUAUUUGAUCAGACUGUUUUGGGUUAUAUAGUCAAGUGACUAAGCGCAUACGGUGGAUGCCUUGGC